rnacentral:rRNA from 1 species
AGAGUUUGAUCCUGGCUCAAGCUACCUACUGGCUUUGCAACCCACUCCCACGAAGUCGAGCGGCAGCGGGAAAGUAGCUUGCUACUUUUGCCGGCGAGCGGCGGACUGAUGAGUAAUUACUAGCGAUUCACUUCAUGGAGUCGAGUUGCAGUUGGAAACGACUGCUAAUACCGCAUACGCCCUACGGGGGAAAGCAGGGGAGCUUCUCUUUGUGCGUGAUUGGGUAUGCACGUGUGAGCCCUACUCGUAAGUGAGGUAAUGGCUCACCAAGGCGACGAUCCCUAGCUGGUCUGAGAGGAUGAUCUUUGAGUUCCGAACUGAGACACUGGCAAAAAGGAUAAGGGUUGCGCCAGUGGGGAAUAUUGCACAAUGGGGGAAACCCUGAUGCAGCCAUGCCGCGUCUGUCUCAGAGGCCUCGAAGGCACCAAKSCAUCUCAGCGAGGAGCUCUGGUUGUCGCCUAAUACGUAACAACUGUGACGUUACUCGCAGAAGAAGCACCGGCUCACCGCUUGCCAGGGCCCCCGUCAAUACGGAGGGUGCAAGUUUUAAUCGGAAUUACUGGGCGUAAAGCGCACGCAGGCGGUUGGAUAAGUUAGAUGUGAAAGCCCCGGGCUCAACCUGGGCACAACAUUUAAGUCUGUCCCGUUUACGGCUUGUAGAGGGGGGGUAGAAUUCCAGGUGUAGCGGUGAAAUGCGUACGCACCUGGAGGAAUACCUGUGUCCAGGGGGCCGCCUUCGCCACCGGUAUUCGCUCAGGUGCGAAAGCGUGGGGACAAACAGGAUUAGAUACCCUGGUAGUCCACGCCGUAAACGAUGUCGAUUUGGAUGCAGUUCCCUUGAGCCGGGGAUUUCACAUCCAACUCGUUAAAUCGACCGCCUGGGGAGUACGGCCGCAAGGUUAACGCUCAAACGUAUUACCGCGGGGCCUGCACAAGCGGAGUUAGCCGGUGCUUUAAUUCCAUGCAACGCGAAGAACCUUACCUAGUCCUUGACAUGUCUCUCCUCCUGGAGAGAUACGUUACUGCCCGAAGGCCUUCUUACAUACACGCUGCAUGGCUGUCGUCAGCUCGUGUCGUGAGAUGUUGGGUUAAGUCCCGCAACGAGCGCUGCUGCUGUCCGUAGGAGUCUGGACCGUGUCUCAGUUCCUCAAGGGCUGGUCACGGUGAUAAACCGGAGGAAGGUGGGGAUGACGUCAAGUCAUCACGGCCCCUACAGCUAAUGCUAUCUGGGCGCUACAAUGGCAAGAGACCCGAAGGUCCAACCUAUCGGUAGUGAGCGAAUCCCAAAAAGCAGGUCGUAUUCCGGAUCGUUAUCCCCAACUCCACCCCGCAAAUUCCCAGACACUACUCACCCCAAAGCAAAAUGUCGCGGAGAAUACAUUCCCGGGCCUUCUACACUCCGCCCGC